GAAGCGGGCGAGGGUGGGAGAGGGCGCAGAGCUGGGGUGGGGUGGGGUAGGCAGUUGGGUAGAAGUUGGGGGGAGGGUGGUGGCGAUGAGACAGAGUUGGGUAAGGCAGGGGAGGGCGCCUGGGGGCUCUUCCCGCCCCUCCACCUGGGUGAGCCCAGCUGGUGCUUGGGAACGCUGCCCCUCCUGGGCCCUUGUCUGCCCGGCUCUCGGGGGCAGCUGUCCUGGGAACGCAUUGCCCCCCCCCCAAGGGCUCCAAGGCUGCAGUAACUCAGGGCCAGGUUUGGGCACAAAGCGGCCGUGGCAGGGGUCUGGCUGGGAAGGCGCAGGCUGCGCCACUGGCUCGCUCGCUCGCACUGCCCUGGUGGGGCCGGCUUGUUCCGUGCGGCGGGGCCGCCUGCUUCUCAGAGUCUGGCGCCCCCAGGACUGCAGAGUCCCAGGCCCCGCGCUGAGGGGCACCUACCAAAGGGCAUCUCACCCUCAGCUGGGCGCCGGUUGGUGGGCUGACGCCCCCCGCUGGCCAGAUGUUCGCCUUGGGGGCGCCCUGGGGUCGCUGAGCAGUGAUUGGCCCUCAGAUUUGGGGAGGGGUUAAAGGAGGCUGGGAGUGCAGCCUGGACCCUCCGAAUGUAUGGCAAUAAAAAUAAAUGCACUUUCCAGGCCCUAGGGACUGUUCUGCGCACUCACUUCAUUCAUUCCUUAUCAUGCGCUUCACAGUAUCUAUGAGUAAGGCCAUGAUUAUCCCCGUUUUACAGGUGAGGAAACUAAGGCACAGCUAGGACCAGAUAGGAUCCAAAUAUAGGCCUCUUUGACUCCAGAACCGUGUCCUCCCUGUAGGGUGUCCAGGCGUGCAUGGAUGGCCUGGGCAUCUGGGCAUGGGGGCCGUUCUGAGUGCAUUUGCACAUGUCCAAGAAAUUAAAGAUAGGUUAGCAGGCAGAUCGUAGUCAUUCUGGGUUUGCCAUUUCAGAUUCAUUCACAGGGUCCUUCCUCUGAGGGAUAUUCUGAGUCCGGGCCAGGCCUUUUGCUUUUGUGGGGUCUCUCUACCUUGGGGGAGCAGACAGUUGGUGGGGUGGGGUAUGUGGCAGUAAGACCCCAGUAAAGAGUAAACAGUUCCACCAAGAGGCAAUUUCUUGCUGAGAGACUGCUCUGCUUAUCUGACUUAGACAGGGUCCUCAGGGAGGACAUUGCAGAGGACAUUAGUGCAGGAUGAAGAGAGGUGACAGCUGAGGAAAGUGUUUAGUCCCCUCUGGCUCUGAGUGCCUUCCCCAGGGUUGCAAAGGAGAAGGAGAAGAGGAGACUGUGGCCACUGUCUGUAAGGCCCUUAAAGGACGAAAUCUGGGGAAUCUUGGGCAAGUAUGUCUGGAAGGGCAGGGACGAGUGCUGACUGGCUCUCCCGAGAGGAUUGGAGCCCAGGUGAAGAAGAGCUAGGCAGGACAGUGGUAGAGACUGCCUGGCAUGGGUUGCAUUGUGGGGUGGCCCUCGGUGCAUGCACAUAGGGUCUGUCUGAAGAGUCCCCAGGGCAGGCCACCUGGACCUCAAACUUUGACCCUCAAGGUCCCCAGAGUUUCUCAUUGGUACCUCCGAGUACCAGGGAGUAGGGUGUAAGAUCCUUUCUUAUUUGUCUAAUGCGGACAGGAGGGCCACAGAGGCCAGCAGCCUUGUCCUGCUGCACCUGCAGCAGGGCUUGUGACCAUCUGUCAGUUGGGACGUUCAUUUCCUGGGUCUCUAGAUCCCAUGGAGAGGAGUUUACCAAGGCCUGCCUCCCCCUCACCCCAAUGUUAGGGUUGGAGGUGGAAAGGAGAUGCUGGUGGGUGCCCCAUUACAUGCACCUGAGUUUCUGAGCCUGGUUCUAGACUGAGCUACCCCUGUCCAACCAGGAUCUAGCUAGGUCAGUAAAAAAACAGCUGUCCGCAUGUGCCCAUUGUAUCCCCAAGUCCACUUUAAUUGGGUCUCCAAACGGACUUUAUUCUGAAUUUCCUGUCUGGCUCCAAAUACCCAUUGCUCAGGCUCUUCUAGGGGAAUGGAGAGGGCUGUGGAUUCCUAGGACUGAGUUUUUUUUUCCCACUUGGACUUGCUGGGCGAGCCUGAGCCUGUCCCAGAACUUCUCUGUGCCUCUUGUCUUGCUUUAUUUUUCUUAGGAGAGUCUCAAGUCUGCUUCCAGGGAGGGAGGUUUGACUUGAGACAAAGGGGACAGGACAUUUAUCUAUAGUGCUUACUAAGGUGUAUUCUGGGCCAGCUGCAUGCUGAGUGCUUGAUGAGCUAUUUCUCAUGAGCCCUAUCAACAGCUCUGUGAAGUUGGUUCCAUUAUUCUCACCUGUCUGCAGUUGUGGUGGCUUUGAGGGACAGCCAGGGAUCCAAGGUCAUAUAGGUGUCCUGAUGCCACCCACCAUGCCUGCCUGAGUCACUCCCAGGACAGCUUCUACAUACCUGGUGAACCACUGACAUUGUGGUCCCCCUCCCCCAGGAGCUUGUCUUGGGGACAGAUGGGCAAACAGUUAUGAACUCUGAGGCUGGAGACACUGUAUUCUCCCUGAGGAGCCAGCUGUGGCCAGCCCCACCCUACCCCCUACUCUGGGCCUGGCAAGCUUGAGGUUCAAGUGGGGGAGAAGCAGCUUGGACUGGUCAGGGGUGGGAGGAUAAGGCCAGGUUCUGGGACAUUUGAGUGGGUGCUGGGCUGGGCUUUACCUGCUUCUUGGUUUCUUGGCUACUCCAACAUAGCAGUGUCCAUCACUGGGCCCAGCUGGGCCAGCAACUCUGUCCUGCCAUGUGGGAGGUGCUUACCUCUUUUAGGGACUUGGGGUGGACAGUCCUCUCUUUUAUUCUGUCCCCUCCUAUCCUAUCCUCCAGGCCUCAGGAGCUCUACUGGCUCAACUUGGAAACUUGGAUGUGCUUGGUGAGAGUGUGUGGCCUUGCUGAGGGACUCAAAUUGGGGCCCUGCCCUCUGGACCUCUUUCUGCCUCCACCCAAACUGCCCUCUGGUCCCGGGCCUGGCCUGUAAGUCUGCAUCAUCUUCACUGUGACAUCUCUGCAGAAUGGGUGGGUGUGUGCCCCCUCCCAAGCUUGCUUUCUCAGGCUGCCCUUCGUGGGGCACCCGUGCUGGCUGAGAGGCUCUGAGCUCCAGCCCUUCUCCCUCCUGAAGUCUAGCUAAUCGGCCACUGGGUUGACCCUCUGCAUUCUCUGCCCUCCGCCCGCUCCUUUGCUGGCUUCCUGGAACCCAGGGACCCUGGAGGUUUCUGGACCCUAUAGAGUUGCCUGGGUGUUUUUUUUUUUUUUUUUGGGGGGGGGGGGUCAUGCUGGUUGGAGGAGCUGGGAGCUGGGAGACAGGCCGAUGACUGGGUCAGGGCCAGCCAGGGGUGGAGACAGACACCAGCACGUGUCUCCCUGGAUCAAACUGUGAUCCCCAGUCCCUUCCUCUGGGGGUCCGGGGCCUGGCUUCCCCACCCUCUUUGGCAUUUCCUGUCUGCCUCCUUUUCAUUUUGCACCCAGGCUCCCCAGGGGUUUCUCUGGGGGGCGAAGAGCCUACUCUAAACUUUCUCCCUGGUGACAGGACCUGACUUGGCCUGACAUGGCUGUGGUCCUACUGAGCCCGGUGUUUGUCUUGACCUCAUCUCCCUACAUUUCUCCACACCCACCUUCUGGCUGGGCAGCGGUGUCCCAGCCGGGCUCCCCUCCAUAUCUGAGCCAGAGAGCCAUGUUCUGAGAUGCUCCUUAGAGACCCCUGGGCUUGGGCCAGUCAUGCCUGUGGGCUCUGGAAGAGGCUGAAGGAUUAGGGAUGAGGAGAGGCAAGACUGGCCUUCUGGGGCAGGAGUCAGGACCGAUGCCUCUCUGGACUUAAUUCUGAGGCGGUUUUGAGGACCUCCAAAGCCACAGCACCUCGCUGCUCUCCCUGUCCCCCAGGCCCACCCCACACAUGGGCUUGCCUUUCCUGGAAUCCUCCCCUGGUCCCCUCCCCCUGGGUGCCUUCUUGAGCUCCUUGGGCCCCUCCCCCAGCCCUCCUGGGCCCCCUCCUUCCUUCUUGACCCACUUUAGUCCCCUGCUGCUGGGGGAGGGGAGCGCACAGCCAGUGGCUCUGAUCCUGGCUGCCUCCCCCAGCAUCCCUUGGGGCGGGCUCUGGAUGGAGCCAGCAGGCUUAGCAGGCCUGGCCCCAGGGACUGGCACACUGUGUGCUCCUAGUGGCAGCCUCCCUGCCCCCUCCACGGACAGACAGUUCUGGAGAGCUGCCCCUGCCCAGGCCCUGGAGAGGCCCUGCCAGGACCCAGCUCCGGUUCCCCCCAGCCCCAGGGAGCAGUGGCUUCAGAGGUUCCUCCUACCUUCUUGCCAUGCACCACUCCCAGAGGGAGGGGGGCAGGGCCAGGUCCUGGCCUCCACCCAUCCUUCCCCUAAGUCUCUGCUGGACAGCCCGAAGCUCCAGUCAAGUCCUGUGUCUGCUGUUAAUCUGUGUGACUUGGGGAGCUCCGCCAUCCCUCUCUGGACCUCAUCUGUGCAUUUAGGGGAUGGAGCAGAUCACUGACAUUUACCAAGCCUCACUGUGUUCCAGGGACUCGGCUAUACAUUGAUGACCUCAUGGUCCCGUGGGAAUGCCAUGAGCACACUUUCCUAUUUGGAACAUGAGGCAACCGAGGCACAGGAAGGGGAAGGAACAAGCUUUUGAGGUCACUCAUACAUGGGGUCCCGGGCAGCCUGAUGGGUGACUUGUCUUCACUCUGCCAUUCUCUAAUUGAUCCUGGCACUGGGGCUAUUAACUCUUUAGGGACUAGGUCAGGGCCCUCUGAGGACUUGAGUUGGGGGCUUCUCCUUGGGGGGCCAUUUAUUCUGUCCUGCUCAGGUGUCCUGCCGCCCUGCCACAUGACAGACUGUGGGAAGGUGAGUCCCCAGACAUCCCAGCUGGAGACACCCCCUCCCCCAUCCUGAGUCCUAGUCCUGGGGUUCAGGGACCUGACUCCAGCCUGAUUGUUCCCUCAAAUGAACAUCACCCCCAGCACAGGGGGGGUCCCCCUCCCAGCAUGCCAGCUGCAGGGCCAGGAGCAAACAGGAGUUGCCUGUUAAGACCACAGCAACCCUCCCUCCCGUUUCCCAGCCAAUGAGAAAUGCAAAAAAUAGGGUGGGUUGGCCCUAAGGGGCUGUUUGAAUUUUGGAAUCUGCACUCCCCUCAUCUCCACAUUUACCUUGACAUUUGUCCUGUCUCUGGGAACCUUUUCAUGUCACCUCAUUGUCUUGCUGAAUAAAAGAGGGGGUGGGAGGUGGGAGGGGGCUCUGGGAGCAAAGUCAGGAAAUCUUUACUUAUUUGCCUAAUUUCCUCACUCAAAUGUGUCUUGUGAUUACAUAUUUUUUUAUUCUAUCCUGUGUGCUUAGGUCAGAGGCCAGGUUUCUCUUCUGAACAGGGCAUUGAGAGUAUCUGGUCUUUCCAUCUUGAGAUUUCUCACUCCAUUCCCUCUCUUUCUCUUUUUUAUCUCCCAUGGCCUUCCCUUCUGGAACUUAUCUCCUCUAGAGAGAGCACAUGGGUGGUGCCUGAAAGGAAAGUGACCACAACACUCGGAGCAACCAAAAGAUCUUUAUUGCAGCAGUGCAACAAAGAGAAAGGAAAGAAGGAAAGAGAGAGAGAGAAAAGAGAAGAGAUGAACAGGGAGAGAGCAAGAGCAAGAGAGAGACAGAGAGUGCACGUAAGAAAGAUAAAGAGCAAGAGAGAGAGAGCAAGAGAGAGAGAGCAAGAGAGAGAGGGAGAGAGAGGGGGGCCUGGCAGGAGGGAGUUUUUAUAGCCCAAAUCUAAUGGGGCCUCUGGGUCUGCAAGCUGCCUUGUUGGCCCAAGGGGGGUUGAGUGCUCAGCCUUAAGCGGGACUUGACACAAACAGGUGAUAAAGGACCAGAUAGAGGGGGUUUGAGUGCAUGGGCUAUCUUGCAGCCAACAUCUGUUCAGCCUGCCCUGCAGACAACACAGUUCAGCCUGCUCUGCACCCAACAGUGCCAAGUGUCAGUCAAAGUCAGUGACCCUUACAGUGCUCACUCAGUGGAAAAGACUGCAGUAAUUUGGUCAUGCUGCCCUCUGGUCCAGGGUAAAGCACCGAGCAGAUUGGGCCUUGCCUGAGCCUGCACUCCAUCACUGUGAUCUCUCAUGGCCCUUUACAUUCCUGCCCUUGGGGGUGAUUAAAAUACUGUCUAUCCUGAGCCUCCUAGCCAUGGUCUCCUCUCCUUGUCUUCCUUUCACAGGUUCAUCUUGCAGUCACGCUUAUUCAGGAACCUCCAUGGCUCCUGUUACAGCUGGGUUAGGGAUGGUCAGGGUGAGUCCACUCUUCUAAAAGUAGAAAGAGAAAAUAUCAGGAUGUUACUGUCUAUGGAGGAAGAAAAACUUUAAAUUGUCUUCUAAAACACAGAUAAAAUUUACAGAGCUUACUGUAUACCAGACACGGGGCUCAAUGCUUUGUCCACCCGUAUCUCUCAGUCUUCCUGAAAAUUCCAUGAGGUGGGUCCUAUUCUUUCCAUUUAUUAAUAAUGAGUCAGUGUAAAGAAGUUAACCUUGCUAAGCACAUAUGGUCUGGGUGUGUACCACGGCCUUAUCAUUUUUCUUGCCCCUUUGUCUCUCUAUGAGUUUAUUGGCACCAAAACAAGCAUGCUAAAUGCAGAGUAGGUUUCCUGAUAAAUUCCCCCAGAAGCCAAUCAGGCCACACAUUGCAAACUAAUGUCUCUCAGGCCCAAAAUGCAGCCCCAUGGCUCCCGGGCAUACCUUGGUUUUACAAGGAUUCCAGUUAUGUGGAGUCUCCCCCUCAUCCCCACAGCCUGUUCUUUGAACCCCAAUACCACCAUAGGAUCCAGAACUGCGUAAGUCCCACUUUGCAGAUGUGGAAUGAGCAGGGGGAUUGCUGGAGCAAUUAGCCAAGGCUGUGGGGUGUGUAUGUGGCUGGACUGGAAAACAGACCCAUGUUAUCACAGUUUCUGAAAGCCUGCAAGAGUCACUCACAGGCCAGAAAACACUGGAAAGUGACAUUAUUUUUUAAGCAAAAAUAGAAAUUGGAGAUCUAAAUCCUGAGCUUAUAAUGGAACAGUGAGAACUCCAUCUUUUGUUUUUCUGCCCAUAUUUUUCCCAGGAGGUGAUUUGAGGACAGAGUCCCGCUUUUAAUAAACACAGAAUGAUGGAAGUUGGAAUUGCAAUGCCUAUGUAUAUAUAAUUAGAGGAACCACCCUCAUUCUUGUAUUUUAGUCAAUAUUUAGAUUCAAUAUAUCUCAGAGCAUUUGAGAGCCUUACAGUGACUAUUAGAAUCAACUGGGACAAUGUAACAGAAUUAGUUCAUUGGGACUUACAUGCAAGACAAAUUUAAAAAUGUCUCAACCCUAUCAUACCACUUGAUUUUGAUUAUAUUGUCAUUUCAAUCCCUGGGUACCUUGCAAACACUUUGGUCUUAACCAGAUGUAAUUCAACUAUAGUCACUAUUGGUGGUUAUGGAACAAUGCAACAAACUACAAUGAGAAGUGACUUUUGGACAUAGGUGAAGUCCGGCCUUUGGCCAAUGGAAUGGAUGAUUCACAGUGCCAAGCUUAGGCACCCCUUCCCCAGGAUGUACAAUGUGAAUCAAGUGGGAGAAUGGUUAGAAUGGCCUUAGGCCUGAGUCUAAGCAACUCAAUUUUAAAAACUCCAGUUUGAAACCUGCAGUCUCACCAGGCACACCCACAGAUCCCUCAAGUAUGACCUCAGACAAUUACUUCCCCUUACUCUGAAAAACACAGUGAAGACUCUGGCAGGCUGUCCUCUCCUGAUAAGAAGAUAAAGUGAGAAGAUAAGGGUGGAGACCACCAGCAGAUGGUUCUGACCCCAGGGUAAAUGAUGUCCUGGAGAAAUCUGGUGGUAGCUGAUAAGGAUUGCAAGGGGGGUCAUAAAGCCCCAAAAUUUAGUGUAAAAAUAGAGCUAAUGAACGAGGAUUCAUCUAACUGAAGCAAUGGUGCACUCAGGCUGGAAAGCCUGGUGAGGAAUUGGACUGACAUCUCAUUACUUAUCAUUCUCCUGAUGAGAUCCUAUGAAACUCAAUAACCUCAUCUGGAUGGUGAGAGCCUCAAUUUCUUUCUAUGACCCUCUCCUCAACAGGUCAUCCACUCCAUGCCAGGAAAAACCUGCCUUGGUUCUGGACCUGAUUACUGUGAAUCUUCUUCACAUGAUAUCUCAGAAUCAAAUAAAUUAAGAUGGACUUGUUCUCAUCAAGGAGACAGUAUUCUAAAAGCAAAAGCAAAAUCAUUAAAAAGUAUUUCCUGACUAGGUACCUGAAAAGUACUCUUUCAUAGCCACACAUUUAUAUAAGCCAUAAGAAGAGCCCUGACCCAAAGUUUGGAGAAUAAAUUCUGCAUUUGGCUAUAGUAGGAGUAAAAUCACAUUACCAAAUUUCUGUACACAGAUAAGGCUAAAGGACUACUGAUAUUAUGGCACUAAUUCUGCCUUUUGUAAAAGAUGAGGUUUAUACAGCUGUUUGGUAUCAAAAAAUAUUUUCAAAGUCCCACAAGUACUGUGUGUGUGUGUGUGUGUGUGUGUGUGUGUGUGUUUAUAUGAGUGUAGUACUGGUGGAUAAACUGAGGGAAUAUUAUUCCUGAGCUAUAUCUUCAAUUUUUUCUUUUUUUUGUUUUGAGACAGGAUCUUACAAAUAUGAUUUCUUGUGUGCCCACAAUUUUUAAGUACAUAUCAAGAACAAAUAUGCCUGAACCAAAGGCAUAUCUUAUCUCCUUUAGCAGCCAUGAUUCAUUGUUAUUUUUAAAUACUCUUAAAAGUUAAGUAGUCACAUUUUUUUUUUUUUCAAAAAGGGGGGUUACACACAUAUGGUGGCUCAUGUCAGCAAUCUUAAUAAUUUGGGAGACUUAAUCAGGAGAAUCACAAUUUCUAAUUCAGCCUAAAUAUUAUGAGAGGGCCCUAAGCAUCUAAGCAACACUUUGUCUGAAAACUGAAAAUAAAAUAAAAUACAAUUAAAAAGGGCUUGUGAUACAGGGGUUUAGGAGAACUAUCCUGGGUUAAGUACUCAUUCCUCUCCCCUUAAAAGGAAAAGAAAAGAAAAGAAUAAAAAAAAUUACAUCUGGUGAACUUUCUAUUAAAUGGGGAUAAUAUGUUUGAGAAAAACUUCUGAAGCUUAUAGCAAGGAUUUAAAAUAAACUUGGGAAAUGGCUGAGAACUGAAUUGAAAAAUCAAGGACAAGAAACAUUUUUAAAAUUUCUUAUCAGGAGAAACUUAAAAACAGAUGUAUUUCAUUAUAGUCAUGAUAAAAAUGCAGCAUGGUAUGGAAAAUGCAACAAAACCACUGUAUUUGUAUCACAAAAGUUUUGUAAGUGGAGAAUAUGAAACAUAAAACACUACAUAAAAAAGUGAGGGGGAGACAACAUUAAGGCAAUAUAUGUAAUCUAAAAUAAAUAAUACGCUAAAUAUCCACUAUAUAAAUAUUAUCUGGGAGCAUGUCUACAAAACAAUACUCCUUGCAUAAAGCAGAGGAUUUGUGAUAGUCUCAAAAAUAGUUUCACAUCUGUGGCUGCUGUGUAGGGGCUCAUAUCAAAAAAGCAAUGUUUGGGGCUCAAGCAGUUGAAAGAAGAUGUGAGGAACUUUUUUUUCUUUUUUACCAUGUGAUAUUUAAUUUUUUUUUUUAGUUAUACAUGACAGCAGAAUGUAUUUUGACAUAUAAUACAUACAUGGAAUGUACAUACAUCAAUCAUAUUGUCUAUUCUAUUCUGCUGCCCUUUCUAUCCUCCCUACUCCUGCCCUCCUGUUCCAUCCUUUCUCUUUAUUCAAUCUAAUGUAACACACUGCCACAGUCUGUCUGGGCACAAAUAACCAAGCCACCACAAAAGACUUGUAGGUUCAAAAAGCAAGUGUUUAUUCUCGAAUUCUCACCGGCUCUCUACACACACUUCUCGGAACACUUCUCGGAAACACACAACACACUCCCUCCACUGGGCUCCGUGUGCCAAUUCUUCCUGAACACCCCUCCCCCCCUCCAAAGUAGAGGGUGCCCAAUGCAGCAGGAUCUGCCCUAAUCCCAGAGCUGCCCUAUUCCCGGAGCAGGGUCACCUUUCAACCAUUCCUUCUAGCAAAAUGCCAGGUGUCAUUCCAUCUAAACUGUGGCUCUCAACAACACACUUUUUUUUUUCUUUUUCUCAUCACAACAUCAUAUAUGUAUUCUGUAUAACAAUCAGGUCCUCCUUCCAUCUUCCAUGCAACUCCCCUUCUCCUUCUUUUUCCCUCCCACCUCUCUUCCUAUUUAGUGGUAGUCUUCUUCUCAUGCUCUUCUUCUCUAUCCCAUUUUGAGUCGCCCCUCUUAUAUCAGAGAGGACAUUCAGCAUUUAUUUUUUAGGAUUGGCUAACUUCACUUAGCAUAAUCUCUUCUAAUUCCAUCCAUUUGCCUGCAAAUUCCAUCAUCUUUUUAUUUUUUAGUGCUUUGUAGUAUUCCAUUGUGUACAAAUGCCACAUUUUUUUUAAUCCAUUCAUCUAUUGAAGGGCAUCUAGGUUGGUUACACAUUCUAGCUGUUGUGAAUUGUGCUGCUAUAAACAUUGAUGUGGCUGUGUCCCUGUAGUAUGCUCUUUUUAGGUCUUUUGGGUAUAGUACGAGAAGGGGAAUAGCUGGGUCAAAUGGUGGUUCCAUUUCCAGCCUUCCAAGGAAUCUUCAUACUGAUUUCCAAAUUGGCUGCACCAAUUUGCAGUCCCACCAGCAAUGUAUGAGAGUACCUCCCCCACCCCAUCCUCGCCAGCAAUUAUUGUUGUUUGACUUCAUAAUGGCUGCCAUUCUUAUUGAAGUGAGAUGGUAUCUUAGAGUAGUUUUAAUUUGCAUUUCUCUGAUUGCUAGAGAUGGUGAGCAUUUUUUCAUGUAUUUGUUGAUUGAUUCUAUAUCCUCUUCUGAGAAGUUUCUGUUCAAAUCCUUGGCCCAUUUGUUGAUUGGGUUAUUUGCUUUUUUGUUAUCUUUUUAAGUUCUUUGUAUACUCUAGAGAUUAGAGCUUUAUCUGAUGUUUGAGGGGUAAAAAUUUGUUCCCAGGGUGUAGGCUCCCUAUUCAACAGAUGAGAGGAACUUUUCAGAUGGUAGGCUUGCUGCUUCUGAAGGCACCAAUAGCCCAUAACCAACCUCUAGCUUCUAUCCCUCAGCCCCCAAAGUUAUUAAAUAGAAUUUUUUUAUGCAGGUCAGACAAAGAAGGCACAUCAACAACAUUUGACUGAUGUAAGACCAUGCUCACAAACAAAUGUUUUUGACUUUGAGUAUAUACAUUGAAUCUGAGUGUUUAUGACCUUGGCUACUUGCUAAAAACAUAGCCCUCUGGAAGCUGUACUAACACAGUUGGUCUUUUUGGUCUUUUUUUGGCCCUAAAUGCCUCAUGGAAUUGAGCAUUUUACAACUUCUACUGUAAGGAGCAAUGCUAACCUCACCAUUUUUAGGGUGCAACACAAAAUGCUGUUUAUCUCUAAUUCUAACAUACAAAAAAUAAUAAUCUUGGUCUUUUGACACCUGGGUAAAUUUUUUUAAGUCCAUCAGUUCUGGUUAACAGGUAAAAUAGGUUAAACUUGAAUACCGGGGCUGGCCAUGCCAGUUGUUCACUGGAGCCAUUGGCUACUGUUGUUUCUUUUUAUGCAUCAUCCAAUGACUGGACUUGAAGGCCUUUAUCCUUCUUCUUCUCUAGAGACUCAACAUCACAAUGGGGAAGGUUGAUAGGUAUUUUCAAAAUACAGAGAUCAUACUCUACUGGAUGUAUUUUGGAUUCCUAGACCUCUUGACUAUCUUGCAAUUCCUCAUUCUGGUAGUCUCUCAUACACUUGCAUCAGUUUUUGCUCCCAGAUCUAUAGAAGCCAUUCAUCCCAUGGCCAGAGCAGCUGCACAUGACUUAUUUGACUACUUACCCAAAUCAUCUAUGCCACUGCUGCCACUUUUUUCUUUGGCCAGGGGCUGGGGCCUAAGCUUCAACACUUUAUUGACACUUCAACUUGCAGGGUUCAUGUUUGCCCACAGUGCAGUCAGAAUCCUUAUUUCUGCUUACAAGGAACUAAUGCCAUUAUAUCACAAUUCUCCAUAGGAGUCCACUGUAAUAGGACUGAGGCAACUAGGUGUUGUAUGCUUCUUGGUGUCCAUAGGUGCCACCACUCUCCUAACAACAACCUCUAUUAAUCUAUCAGGACUGAGAUUUCUCUCACCAACAAAUAUCCUAAAGACUUUGCCAGUUGCUGUGUGGGUGUUGAGACCCAGGAUGUAAAAUUGGGUCUCUAGCAAUUGAGAGAUGUGAGGCAGAGUUGGCAGUGUAGUCAUGCUUAUGCAAAAAAAAAAAAAAAAACACAAUAGCUCCCAGACAGCCCAGAGCUUUCAGCCCUUAGAUUCCUGCAUCAUUCCAUAGGCCUUUUCAUAUAGGACAGAAAACAAAGGUGAAUGGUCAAUAUUUUACAUAAUGAACACAUGCUCAAAAGAAAAUGUUUAUGACAAUGAAUGAAUACACUAAAUCAGGGUAUUUAUUACUUCAAUAAAUAAUAAUAAUAAUAAUAAUAACAACAACAACAAAAACAACAACAAUAACCUGUUGGAAGCAUCAACAACAGAGUAGCUAUAGCCAUGUUUGGCCUUUCCAAUGAUCCACCCUUUUAGGAUUCAUCAUCAAAAAAUCUACACACCUGAAGUCUUCUGCAAUGAUCUAUUAGCAAGGAAGUAAGAGCUCUGCAUCCACAGGCCACAAAAAAUACACUGUAUUGUGAUAUGACUAGAACACAAUCCCCCUGCCUAGGAUUACUAAAAGCAUCCUCCAGAUAGUAUCCUGACAAGCUCAUCAUUCUUUCAACUUAUCAUUGAUCAACUGCUGUGGCUGCAACUAAAGAUGUAAUAUAUAUUGAAGUAAUCCUGAUAUUAUUUUGGUGAUCUAGAAUAUGCAUACAACUGAAUAUGGCUGAAAUCCAUUCCUGUGCUGCUGUUAACAAACCAAGUGCCAUGUGAUUUUGCAACACAACUUUUUGUAUUUGAUAUUUUUCUUUAUUAACUAGAGAUAGAGCCUGCUUUGUAUGAUUUAAGAUUUGACUGUGUACUCUGUCUUAUUCACCAAGGAUACAUAAAAAAAUAACAAAGAAAAUACCUCAUCCUCAUUAGUUUAAAAUUUUAUUUAUCAUAUAGUCUUUCAUUAGCUAUAACCACACCUUAAUUUUCCAUAGGCUGUAAGGUUUGAACCUAGUAUCCUAAUAAUGCCAGCAGAAAAACCAGAAGUUCAAAUAUAUUGAGUAAUCUUUUAAAAUUAAAUAAAAGUUUAGGCAGUAAAAAAAUAUCUGGAUAGAAUGGAGAUCAACAGACUGUUGACUAUAAUAGAUAAUGUUACCUUCAAUAUACAUUGAAAUAUUGGUUUCAGUAUUUAAACCUUAGGAAAUAAGCUAGAAUUAACAAAGGGGUGAUUUUAACAGCUGUUUCUAUGCUUAGCAUUUCAAUUUUGCCUGUUCAUAACCAGGAAACAAGAGCCAAUAUUGUAAUGCAUGUCUGUAAUUUCAGUGACUCAAGAGGCUGAGGAAGAAGGAUUUUAAGUUCAAGGCUAGUCUCAGCAACUCAGUGGGGCUUUAAGCAUCUUAGUGAGAACUUGGCUUGUCUUUAAAAACAAAUGGGCUGGAGACGUGAUUUGUGAUAAAGUGUUCUGAGUCCAGUUCUUGGUACAAAAAAAAAAAAAUUCUGCUUUUUUGUGCCACUAUCUAACUUCUAAGACAAUAAUGAAAGAUUAAUAAUUCAUGUAAUCUAGAGGAUGUGAGUUGUGGCUUUGGGGUCACAUAGAAUUGAUCCUGAAUUUCAGUAAAGUAGCUUAAUAUUCAUGAGACCUUUAAAAUAUUCUUUCACACCGAACAGCUAUGUAAACCUCAUUCAUUACAAAAAGCAGAAUGAAACGAGUGUCAACAUAUUAGCAAUUCUUUAGCCCUAUCUGUACACAUAAAGUUGACAAUGUGUUUUUACUCCUCUUAGUUCCAAAGUUCAGAGUAUGUUUCCAAAACUUUGGAUCUGAGCUCUUAUUUUUUGUGUGUGACUUAUGUAAAUCUGUGACUAUGAAAGUGUAUUAGUCAGGAAAUAUUUUGAAUACUUUGCUUUUGCUUUCAUGACACUGUCAUCUCCAUGAGAAUGAGCCCACCUUAAUUUAUUUGAUUCUGAGAAGAAGGGUGCAUUUUUUGGCAACCAUGUCUCCCUCUGAAGUUCAGUAACCUUACCAAGGAUCACCUAAUGCAGUAAAAAGAUCCCAUAUAAACCCAGGCUUAAUUUAUGAUAAGCCCACACUUGAGACAAUAAUUUUUAUAUGGUUUCUUCUUAUUCAGUGAUAGAUAUCUAAUUCACUAAACAUAGGCUGAAUGCCAGGAUUCAAUCAAAUGUGGAACAGAAGUUAUGUGAAAAACAUAUUGUGCCUUAUAGGUACUGGUUAAAUUUUUAUUAAUUUAAAUUUAAACUUUAAUUUCUUGACAGUAUUUAUUGAAUUACAUGGUAAUAUGUGUAGACUUCUAUGCCUUUAAUGUUUGAUGAUAUUUUCAGAGUACCCCAUACUAAAGAAGAAAAUUGAAAUCACAACCCUGCAUUAGGCUAAAGACAAAACUGUAAAAUAAUUUUUUUUUUAUAUGUUUAGACUCUGGUUUCUGGGUUACUGAUGAUCUGAUGACCUAGAGUUUUCUCUCCAGUGAUACCUAUCUCUUUUGGUUAAAGUAUGAUAUCUAAAAUGAAAAUGGAUCUGUACCCAGAAUCCUGUGAGAAACAGUGUCCACUUUUGUACACUUCUGAGUUGUAGAUGGCUGCUCUCUCAAAGUGUAGAGUCUCUCCUGUUCUUUGGCCCUGAGAUAAUGUUGUUUGGUAUGUUUAUUCCAUAACCUAUGACACAGAACUGAGUUGUCCAUUUUUUUUUCACCUUGCUGAGGUCAGGGUAGAUCUCAAGCAUGGAAUAUAGCUGUGGUGAACAUAGAUAUCCCUGAGUGGUCAAGACUGAAUUUUGGGAUGAAGCUUGAUAAAUACAUUUAUUUAUUUGUAAAUUUAUAUUUUCAAAAAUAACAAUAAUUUGGAUAUAGUGGUUUAAGUUAUUAAAUUGAUUUAAGCUGUCCUUCUUAAUUUUUAUUAUGAAUACUAGAAAUUUUUAUUAUACUAAUGCAUUAUAUUGUUUUUCCCUCUUGGAAAAUAUUAAUGCCUUAGGACAUUGCUUAGAAGUUUAAAAUAAAAUUUGCUUUCUCAUAAGACCAGACAGCACAAAAGUUAAAUGAAAUUUUAAAGUAAUUUUGAUAAAAUUUUUAUUCAUAAAAGUAUAUAUUUUGGGUGUGUGGGAGAUCUUGCCUCUUGGUUUUAUUUUCCCCAUUGGGUUUCUCCCCAUUGAAAUUAAGUUUUCAUCACAUGAGAAGAACAUUACAUAAUCUUUUACUUUUCUCCCUCUCACUAAGGUGUGGCUGUAGAGUUUAAGAGUGGUGAGGAAAUACAAAUGAUGAGAAGUGAUGAGAUGUCAUUCCAAGUCCUCAUCAGCCUCCCCAGCUCAAGUGCAUUUUUUAUUGAGCUGGCUGAAUAUCUGUUCAUUUGCUCUACUCUUUAUAUUAAAUUUUGCAGCUUUUUACCCUUUUUUCAAUCCUUGUUAGUUACCACCAGAUUUUUCCAUGACAUCAUUUACUCUAGGGCCAGAAACAUCUGGUCUGGUGGUCUGCACCUUGGUAUUCUCGCCCUUCCCUCUUACUAGGUGAGGACAAUCUGACAGAGGCCUCACUCUAUUUAUCAAGGUGAGAGGAAGUGAUUUGUUCAUGUCUGAGGGCAAUACUGCAGGGCUUCUUUAGGCAUGCCUGGUGAGACUGCAUGUUUCAAACUGAAGUUUUUAAAAUGGAGUUUUUUAGGCCAGGCCUAAACACAAUAGUGUAGUUAAUUUGUCCAAAAUUAAGGUGUUUUUUUUUUUUGUUUGUUUGUUUCUUUAAUGUAUUUGUCCUCAAUUGAAUUUUUUUCUUUUUUCUUUUUUUUUUGUACCAGGUAUUUAACUUCCCCAGUCCUUUUUUUUGUAUUUAUUUAUAGUGAGGGUCUCACUUAGUUGCUUAGUGCCUUUUUUUUGCUGAUGGUAGCUUUGAACUCAUGAUACCCAUGUAUAAUUCUUCUGUGCCACAGGGGUUAUGGCCUGUGCCACCAAGUUUGUUUCAACUGAAUUUUUAAAUAUGUAAAACAACUUUAUUAAAUUGACAUUUAGAAGCAUUAUUCGUAAUAUUCAAGCAAACUCCUUUGUCCUGGUGUGGCAGGAAAUAAAAGUGAAACUGGACUUUAAUUUAAAUAACAAGAAAGUUCAAUUGCAAGGGCUUAAUUAGAACACAGAUAAUUAGAAGGUUACAGGCCAUAAAGCACUGUUGUACUUGUUUAAAAUAUUUUUUUCUUAGUUGUAGAUGAACAAAAUACUAUUAUUAUUAUUAUUAUUAUUAUUAUUAUUAUUAUUAUUAUGGGUCCAGUAUCAAACAGACUGUCUCAUGCAUAAUAGCCAAGCACUCUACUACUGAGCAACAACCCUAAAUCCUUACCUGGUAUUUUUUUAAUAUUUAUUUAUAUUUUAUUUAUUUAUAUGUGGUGCUGAGAAUUAAGCUCAGGGCCUCAUAUAUGCUAGGCAAGCACUGUACCACUGAGCCACACCUUCAGCUCUUUCCUGGUAUUUUUAAAUACCUGUUUUACAUAAAUUUUAAUUAGUAGCUUUAACCCUUUUCCAAUAUCUGUUUGGAGUAAAUCAAUAACCUAGAAAUCAGUGAAGCAAAGUCUAGUUUUAUCUCAAACUCUGAUUUUACUUUCUCUUUCUUUCCCAGACCAGACACCUUAUCACAGUGUCUGAAUUAAGAUUCCUCCUUGAGGAAUUUACUGUAUGUUGUCCACAUUCCAAACUCCAAAAUUUAUCUAUUCCUUAGUUUUGGAAAAGUCUUACAGAAUUUGUCCAGAGGUACCAAAAUUUCUUGGAGUACUCAGAAGAAUCCAUAUCUGAGUCUUGCCUUUUAGGGAGCAGUUUGAAUUAUAAGUAUGCAGCCUUUAAGGCAAGUAGAUGGAUGAUCUGCAGCUGGAAGGAACCUUUUCAUCAACCUUUGCAUCUAAAAGGCACUUCAUUUGAUUCCUUUUAUUAGAUACUGUGAAUAAACCUACAAUGAAAAUGGAAGUGAAGUAAUUUCUUUAACAAAAUUGUUCCAAUUUCUUUAGAUAUUUAUCCAGAAUUAUAAUUACUGGGUUAUAGGGCAUUUUUUAAACCAAGAAUUGUUUUUUAUUUUUACUUAUUUAGGCACUUUACCACUGUGUUACAUCCCUAUUUUUUUAUUAUUAGUGGAUUAUAUGGCAUUUUUAUUUUGAGCUCUUAGGAACCAUGAUAGGGGCUGGGAAUGUGGCUCAAGUGGUAGUGCAUUUGCCUGGCAUGCAUGUGGCCCUGGGUUUUAUCCUCAGCACCACGUACAAAUAAAGAUGUUGUGUCUGCCGAAAACUAAAAUGAAUAAAUAAAUAUUAAAAUUCUCUCUCUCUCUCUCUCUUUCUCUCUCUCUCUCUCUCUCUCUCUCUCUCUCUCUCUCUCUCUUUAAAAAAGAACCAUGAUUUUUUUUCAAAAGUAUAUUUAUUAACUUUAUAUUGUAACCAAAAUUUUUAUCUAUGCAUGUACACCUAUACUCUGGAGUCCCUACUAUCUUUCAGAUAUUUGUUUAGUUUGGUGUGGUUUGGUGCUAGGAAUUGAACUCCAGGGGUGAUUACCACUGAGUUAUGUCUCCAGUCCUUUUCUUUCUUGGAGACAGGUGAUAUAUCACUAAUAUCUCAAUAAGUUGCUUAUAGCCUUUCUAUGUUGUUAAGGCUGUCUUUCAAAUCACAGUCCUCCUGACUUGCCUCUCCAGCCUCCAGUAUAUUUUCCAGAUUUGGCAGAUUCUUUUUUUGAGAUAAAUUGACAGCUUUGAUAUUUGGGUAUUUUUGUGUCUUGGUCACAGCUGAUGAAACACUUGUGAAAAAUUUUAUGGCUCCUAGAUAUCACCAUUUUUUGUAUCAUUUCUUUCAUAUUUCCUUCUUUCUUUUUUUUUGUGGUGCUAGAGAUUGAACCCAGGGCCUUGUGCAUACAAGGCAAGCACUCUAAAAACUGAGUUACAUCCUCAGCCACUCUCUCACAUUUCUGAUCACUAGAGGUGAUGAUGAUAAUUGGGAAUUUUGUCCCAAAUGUGGUACAUUUCUUAAGACUGGACUAAUAUCCAGUGUAUCUAAAUCUCUCUACUCAUUCAUGAUUUUGCCAAAGAGAUACUCACAGUAGAUUUUUUCCUUAAAUUUAUCUAUAGAUGGAGGGAGAGUGUCUCAUUUAAUAUUCUGCUUUAUUUUCAACAUAAUUCCCUCUUAAUAUUUGCUUUUUGUAGUGUUGCUAAGUUUGGAACUGACUAUCUUGCAC
rnacentral:lncRNA from 1 species